AAGCGGGCAAGCGAGUGGCGAACCACGUUUGAAGGGCCUACUUUGAAGGAAAGGACGCAGGAGCGUCAAGCGGGCAAGCGAGUGGCGAACCACGUUUGAAGGGCCUACUUUGAAGGUGACAAUGGGAUAUUACGGAUGGCGGUCAAGCUAGAUGAUGAAGAACCGAACACUUACUUUUGAGCUUCCGCGUUAUAUUAACUUUGAUAAACAAUGUUUUGGAAUGUAAACUCCUGUUAAACUACUUAUGAACAUCUGAAUUAGUCGGAAAUGGACAAAUGUUUGGGUGCUUUGAACUUGUU